rnacentral:lncRNA from 1 species
CCAGUGCGGCGGUUGGAGCUGCCGCCGUCGCUCCGCCCUCCUCCUCUCCCGCCUCGCCCCGGCGACUUCCUCCCGCGUGGUCGCGUGGUCGUCGGCGAGACGGAGGUGCCGGAGAUCGUCAAGGCAGCCCAGGACGCGUGGGCCAAAGUUGAGGACAAGUACGCCGUCACCGCCAUCGACGUCGCCGCGCUCGUCGGCCUCUGGACGGCCAUGGGCGCCAUCAAGGUAUACGACGCGACACAUAUGCUUCCAUAUAUAUAUAUAUAUAUGAUCUCUUACUCCUUCAAGUUCAGAUACGAUGCUUAA